GCGCUCUUAGUUCAGUUCGGUAGAACGCAGGUCUCCAAAACCUGAUGUCGCAGGUUCAAAUCCUAUAGAGCGUG
rfam:Gossypium arboreum cultivar AKA8401 contig_7216_5, whole genome shotgun sequence.